UACGUAGGGUGCGAGCGUUGUCCGGAAUUACUGGGCGUAAAGAGCUCGUAGGUGGUUUGUCGCGUUGUUCGUGAAAACCGGGGGCUUAACCCUCGGCGUGCGGGCGAUACGGGCAGACUUGAGUACUGCAGGGGAGACUGGAAUUCCUGGUGUAGCGGUGGAAUGCGUAGAUAUCAGGAGGAACACCGGUGGCGAAGGCGGGUCUCUGGGCAGUAACUGACGCUGAGGAGCGAAAGCGUGGGGAGCGAACAGG
rnacentral:rRNA from 1 species